rnacentral:lncRNA from 1 species
CAAGUUCUUGAACUCAUAAUGUAUGGUAAGUUUUAUGAACAAUGAUUAUAAUAUAUUGUCAAAAAGUUAGCAUUAGUUGCGGCGUCUAGAAAGUUUUAUCUAGAAAAUGUGUUAUUUGAUUGCGCAUCGUUUUAACGGAAAUCCCCCUUUUUUAUGAAAAAUGAUAUGAUUGUCAGUAUUGUGAGUUUAUAAUAUUUAUACUCGAUAGGAUUUAGUGUUGGACAAGUGAGCGCCAGAUCCGCUGUAGUAAGUACAUGAAUUUGGGGUGUCACAUAUUGGUAUUAAAGCAAAAGGUAGAGACCAUGUUGCAAUCCAGAAAUUAAG